GCAAGGGCUGAGGCGGCAGCCCUUGCCGAUGGAGAACUCCAUCGGAUCAAUCCGGUUUUGUUGAAUAUCCUGAACCAGUUACUCUGCGACUAUAUGCAUCCAGAGGGAUCUGGUAGUAUGUAAAUCAAGAAGGAUUGGUGGGCAGAUGAACAGGUGACGUGUUGUUUAGUUCACACGUGGCAGAAUCAUCCAGCAAGUUGUCAUCAAACCUGCAAUUUGAGCCGACUGCAUCUGCCGGAAACUGGCGAAGACUGCCCGUCGCAUUUUGUUCUACGAGUUGAUGGCCUGUUGCUCAAGUGCUGAGUUCACACCGGUGCUGUAUAGUUUACCACCAAUGGCUUUGUAUGUAGUCAACGGAUUUCUUUGUCAGCGGCCUGAAUGUUGCGACAAGUGGCUUGAAGAUAUUGUUCCUGCUUCUGACUUGGCCACUGAUUACUUUAGCAGGUCUUUGGAAUAGUUCUUAUUUAUAUUUUAUGUGUACGUUUCCACCACUUGCUUAUUCUACGACAUAUUUUCAUGGGUCAAUAUCAUCUAAAUUAUCAGCGAUAUUCAAUGAUUCCUGAUGAUGGCUAGACUAAUUUAUUAUUCUACUUGAGUGCUCCGUUUUAAAACCACAAAAGUGGUUGCUUAUGCGAAACCGUUCCAUGUUGCAAAUUCAAAUAUACCCAUGAAUAUUCCAUCAAGUUACAGGGGAAAACUUUCACAUAUCAAUGAUGUGCUGUCGUCAAUGAGCGCUCAGUACAACACCUCUUUGGGGAGAAGUUUUUAUAUGGCACGGUACUUACACGGGAUAGCUGUGAGCACCAUACAGGCUGGAACAUUGAGGUUCGAGCUGUGUGGUCUUCAUUGCUGUCAACAGAAGCUUAGCUGAGUGCUACCGGCCGCGUCCACAGGUUGCGGAUAGUGGGAUGCUCCAUUCGGAGUAGCUGCAACUCAGUCGAGGACAAUCAGCGGUAUCGAGUGGAGAGCCUCAGUGGGAGGCCGGGCUGCACUGGCUCUUGCACAAAUACUUAGUGCCAAUGAUGCUCGAUAUGACAAGGUGGGUUAUUGGCGCCUUUAAAUAACCAAUGGCCACUUUGUUGCCGAGGCGAUUGGUCCUUUGGACCGGAACGAGCUUGCACACCUACAGGAGCUUGACGAGGAUCGCCACCUCCACAUGAAUAUGUGGCUACAAAAACAACCUCAC